rnacentral:rRNA from 1 species
CGAACGCUGGCGGCGUGCUUAACACAUGCAAGCCGAACGAUGAUGCUGGAGCUUGCUCCAGUUGAUUAGUGGCGAACGGGUGAGUAACACGUGAGCAAUCUGCCCUUGACUCUGGGAUAACUGCGGGAAACUGUAGCUAAUACCGGAUACUUUCACCGGUAAGGCAUCUUCUGGUGAUGAAAGAAUUUCGGUCAGGGAUGAGCUCGCGGCCUAUCAGCUUGUUGGUGAGGUAACGGCUCACCAAGGUCGACGACGGGUAACCGGCCUGAGAGGGUGACCGGUCACACUGGGACUGAGACACGGCCCAGACUCCUACGGGAGGCAGCAGUGGGGAAUAUUGCACAAUGGGC